GACGAACGCUGGCGGCGUGCCUAAUACAUGCAAGUUGAGCGAUGAAGAUUGGUGCUUGCACCAAUUUGAAGAGCAGCGAACGGGUGGGUAACGCGUGGGGAAUCUGCCUUUGAGCGGGGGACAACAUUUGGAAACGAAUGCUAAUACCGCAUAACAACUUUAAACAUAAGUUUUAAGUUUGAAAGAUGCAAUUGCAUCACUCAAAGAUGAUCCCGCGUUGUAUUAGCUAGUUGGUGAGGUAAAGGCUCACCAAGGCGAUGAUACAUAGCCGACCUGAGAGGGUGAUCGGCCACAUUGGGACUGAGACACGGCCCAAACUCCUACGGGAGGCAGCAGUAGGGAAUCUUCGGCAAUGGACGAAAGUCUGACCGAGCAACGCCGCGUGAGUGAAGAAGGGUGUCGGAUCGUAAAACUCUGUUGGUAGAGAAGAACGUUGGUGAGAGUGGAAAGCUCAUCAAGUGACGGUAACUACCCAGAAAGGGACGGCUAACUACGUG
rnacentral:rRNA from 1 species